UACGUAGGGGGCUAGCGUUGUCCGGAAUCAUUGGGCGUAAAGAGCGUGUAGGCGGUCCGGUAAGUCCGCUGUGAAAGUCGGGGGCUCAACCCUCGAAUGGCCCGGUGGAUACUGUCGGGCUAGAGUGCGGAAGAGGCGGAGUGGAAUUCCUGGGUGUAGCGGUGAAAUGCGUAGAUAUCUGGAGGAAUACCGGGUGGCGAAGGCGGCAUCCUGGACCGGCAUUGACGCUGACGGAGCGGAAAGCCAGGGGGAAGCCAAAGCGGGGAUUAA
rnacentral:rRNA from 1 species